rnacentral:rRNA from 1 species
GAUGAACGCUGGCGGCGUGCCUAAUACAUGCCAGUCGAGCGAACGGACGAGAAGCUUGCUUCUCUGGUGUUAGCGGCGGACGGGUGAGUAACACGUGGAUAACCUACCUAUAAGACUGGGAUAACUUCGGGAAACCGGAGCUAAUACCGGAUAAUAUUUUGAACCGCAUGGUUCAAAGGUGAAAGACGGUCUUGCUGUCACUUAUAGAUGGAUCCGCGCUGCAUUAGCUAGUUGGUAAGGUAACGGCUUACCAAGGCAACGAUGCAUAGCCGACCUGAGAGGGUGAUCGGCCACACUGGAACUGAGACACGGUCCAGACUCCUACGGGAGGCAGCAGUAGGGAAUCUUCCGCAAUGGGCGAAAGCCUGACGGAGCAACGCCGCGUGAGUGAUGAAGGUCUUCGGAUCGUAAAACUCUGUUAUUAGGGAAGAACAUAUGUGUAAGUAACUGUGCACAUCUUGACGGUACCUAAUCAGAAAGCCACGGCUAACUACGUG